rnacentral:rRNA from 1 species
AGAGUUUGAUCCUGGCUCAGAAUGAACGUUGGCAGCGUGGAUUAGGCAUGCAAGUCAAGCGACAAGUUUGCGAUAGCUUGCUAUUGCAAACGGAGGAGCGGCUAACGGGGUAGUAAUGCAUCGGAACGUACCCUUCAGUCGGGAAUAGCCACGGGAAACUGUGAGUAAUGCCCGAUGAUUCCUACGGGACAAAGGUCCGCCGCUGAGGGAGCGGCCGAUGUGAGACUAGGUAGUUGGUGGGGUAAUGGCCUACCAAGCCGAAGAUCUCUAGGGGGUGUGAGAGCAUGGCCCCCACCACUGGGACUGAGACACUGCCCAGACAUCUACGGAUGGCUGCAGUCGAGAAUCUUUGGCAAUGGGCGAAAGCCUGACCAAGCGACGCUGCGUGCGGGAUGAAGGCCCUUGGGUUGUAAACCGCUGUCAGAGGGGAUCAAGGGAAACUUGAGAGAGCCUCAGA